UGGGACAUGUGCACGCUUUUCUUUUCAAUUUUUCCAACUGUGCACGUAUUGUAGACCUGGAGGCUUUUUAUCGUUGGAAUAGAUUGAGGACUGCUCUUGUGGCUUUGCCUUGCAUUUCCAGGUCUAUGUUAAACACAUUUCACACAAAUGAAUGUCGAAAUAUGGAAUAAUAUAUAUACAACUUUCAGCAACGGAUCUCUUGGCUCUCGCAUCGAUGAAGAACGCAGCGAAAUGCGAUAAGUAAUGUGAAUUGCAGAAUUCAGUGAAUCAUCGAAUCUUUGAACGCAUCUUGCGCUCCUUGGUAUUCCGAGGAGCAUGCCUGUUUGAGUGUCAUAAAAGUUCUCAACCGCACUGGUUUUUUCUGGUGUGGCUUGGAUUUGGGGGAUUUGCCGGCUUUUGAAUGCAAGUCGGCUCCCUUGAAAAGGAUUGGUGGUAUCUGAGCCAUAUACUAUGGGUGUGAUAAAUUAUCUAUGCCUUGUCGUAUGCCAGAAGAUGCCCCUUAUCAAAGAUGUCGCGAUAU
rnacentral:rRNA from 1 species